CUGUGCCACCCACUGAGGUUUCCCCUCUGGGUUUCAAGUUCCACUCAAGACAAAAGCAGGCAUCCUUGACAAGAUAAAGGAAGGAAUGGAGAUUGGUACCUUGAUUGCUCACAAUGGCCCUCUGACAGAUGCCUUUCCUUUGGACAUCUUUAAUCUGGCUGUAGUAGUAGAGAAGAUCAUCCUUCAUGAUCUCAGAAAUUUUUGCCAACAACUUUGCCAUGUUAAUGGCCAUGUUAAUCUACUGCUUUAACCUGGAGUACCUCCAGAAGAUGAAGUACUUUUUUGUGUUCAUUCAAAGAGUUGUCAUGAACAUUAAACCAGACCAGUGCACUGCAAAAAUCAAUGGACUCAGAAAUAAAAUACGUAGCUGUAAAAGCUGAAAAAAAGUAGAACCUUA